rnacentral:rRNA from 1 species
GGGUUGUGAGGUUAAGCGACUAAGCGUACACGGUGGAUGCCCUGGCAGUCAGAGGCGAUGAAGGGCGUGCUAAUCUGCGAUAAGCGCCGGUAAGGUGAUAUGAACCGUUAUAACCGGCGAUACCCGAAUGGGGAAACCCAGUGUGAUUCGUCACACUAUCAUUAACUGAAUCCAUAGGUUAAUGAGGCGAACCGGGGGAACUGAAACAUCUAAGUACCCCGAGGAAAAGAAAUCAACCGAGAUUCCCCCAGUAGCGGCGAGCGAACGGGGAGGAGCCCAGAGCCUGAAUCAGCAUGUGUGUUAGUGGAAGCGUCUGGAAAGGCGCGCGAUACAGGGUGACAGCCCCGUACACAAAAGCGCAUGUGCUGUGAGCUCGAUGAGUAGGGCGGGACACGUGGUAUCCUGUCUGAAUAUGGGGGGACCAUCCUCCAAGGCUAAAUACUCCUGACUGACCGAUAGUGAACCAGUACCGUGAGGGAAAGGCGAAAAGAACCCCGGCGAGGGGAGUGAAAAAGAACCUGAAACCGUGUACGUACAAGCAGUGGGAGCACAGGUUUACCUGUGUGACUGCGUACCUUUUGUAUAAUGGGUCAGCGACUUAUAUUCUGUAGCAAGGUUAACCGAAUAGGGGAGCCGGAGGGAAACCGAGUCUUAAUUGGGCGUUAAGUUGCAGGGUAUAGACCCGAAACCCGGUGAUCUAGCCAUGGGCAGGUUGAAGGUUGGGUAACACUAACUGGAGGACCGAACCGACUAAUGUUGAAAAAUUAGCGGAUGACCUGUGGCUGGGGGUGAAAGGCCAAUCAAACCGGGAGAUAGCUGGUUCUCCCCGAAAGCUAUUUAGGUAGCGCCUCGUGAAUUCAUCUCCGGGGGUAGAGCACUGUUUCGGCUAGGGGGCCAUCCCGGCUUACCAACCCGAUGCAAACUGCGAAUACCGGAGAAUGUUAUCACGGGAGACACACGGCGGGUGCUAACGUCCGUCGUGAAGAGGGAAACAACCCAGACCGCCAGCUAAGGUCCCAAAGUCAUGGUUAAGUGGGAAACGAUGUGGGAAGGCCCAGACAGCCAGGAUGUUGGCUUAGAAGCAGCCAUCAUUUAAAGAAAGCGUAAUAGCUCACUGGUCGAGUCGGCCUGCGCGGAAGAUGUAACGGGGCUAAACCAUGCACCGAAGCUGCGGCAGCGACACUGUGUGUUGUUGGGUAGGGGAGCGUUCUGUAAGCCUGUGAAGGUGGCCUGUGAGGGUUGCUGGAGGUAUCAGAAGUGCGAAUGCUGACAUAAGUAACGAUAAAGCGGGUGAAAAGCCCGCUCGCCGGAAGACCAAGGGUUCCUGUCCAACGUUAAUCGGGGCAGGGUGAGUCGACCCCUAAGGCGAGGCCGAAAGGCGUAGUCGAUGGGAAACGGG